UACGAAGGGGUCUAGCGUUGUUCGGAAUUACUGGGCGUAAAGCGUGCGCAGGCGGUUUUGUAAGUCAGAUGUGAAAUCCCCGGGCUCAACCUGGGAAUGGCAUUUGGGACUGCAAGGCUUGAGUGCGGCAGAGGAGACUGGAAUUCCUGGUGUAGCAGUGAAAUGCGCAGAUAUCGGGAGGAACACCAGUAGCGAAGGCGGCUCGCUGGGCCGUUCCUGACGCUGAGGCGCGAAAGCCAGGGGAGCGAACGGG
rnacentral:rRNA from 1 species